GAUUAUGGCUCAGGAUGAACGCUGGCGGCGUGCCUAACACGUGCAAGUCGAACGGAGUUACGAGAGCUUGCUUUGUAACUUAGUGGCGGACGGGUGAGUAAUGUAUGAGCAACCUGCCUUUCAGAGGGGGACAACAGUUGGAAACGACUGCUAAUACCGCAUAACGUGCGGGGAGGGCAUCCUUCCUGUACCAAAGGAGCAAUCCGCUGAAAGAUGGGCUCAUAUCUGAUUAGUUAGUUGGCAGGGUAACGGCCUACCAAGACUGCGAUCAGUAGCCGGACUGAGAGGUUGAACGGCCACAUUGGGACUGAGAUACGGCCCAGACUCCUACGGGAGGCAGCAGUGGGGAAUAUUGGGCAAUGGGCGAAAGCCUGAACCCCAGCAACGCCGCGUGAAGGAAGAAGGUCUUCGGAUUGUAAACUUCUUUUAUGAGGGACGAAGGACGUGACGGUACCUCAUGAAUAAGCCACGGCUAACUACGUGCCAGCAGCAGC
rnacentral:rRNA from 1 species